rnacentral:rRNA from 1 species
UACGAAGGACCCGAGCGUUAUCCGGAUUUAUUGGGUUUAAAGGGUGCGUAGGCGGAUUAGUAAGUCAGUGGUGAAAGCCCAUCGCUUAACGGUGGAACUGCCAUUGAUACUGCUAGUCUUGAGUAUGGUUGAGGUGGGCGGAAUGUGUCAUGUAGCGGUGAAAUGCUUAGAUAUGACCCAGAACACCAAUUGCGAAGGCAGCUCGCUAAACCAUAACUGACGCUGAGGCACGGAAAGCGAUGGGUAGCAAA